rnacentral:rRNA from 1 species
UAAGGAAUAUUGGUCAAUGGGCGAGAGCCUGAACCAGCCAAGUAGCGUGCAGGAAGACGGCCCUAUGGGUUGUAAACUGCUUUUAUGUGGGGAUAAAGUGCGUGACGUGUCAUGCAUUGCAGGUACCACAUGAAUAAGGACCGGCUAAUUCCGUGCCAGCAGCCGCGGUAAUACGGAAGGUCCGGGCGUUAUCCGGAUUUAUUGGGUUUAAAGGGAGCGUAGGCUGUCUAUUAAGCGUGCUGUGAAAUAUACCGGCUCAACCGGUGGCUUGCAGCGCGAACUGGUCGACUUGAGUAUGCAGGAAGUAGGCGGAAUUCAUGGUGUAGCGGUGAAAUGCUUAGAUAUCAUGACGAACUCCGAUUGCGCAGGCAGCUUACUGUAGCAUAACUGACGCUGAUGCUCGAAAGUGCGGGUAUCAAACAGG